UACGUAGGGUGCAAGCGUUGUCCGGAAUUAUUGGGCGUAAAGAGCUCGUAGGCGGUUUGUCGCGUCUGCUGUGAAAACUCGGGGCUCAACCCCGAGCCUGCAGUCGAUACGGGCAGACUAGAGUGCUGUAGGGGAGACUGGAAUUCCUGGUGUAGCGGUGAAAUGCGCAGAUAUCAGGAGGAACACCGGUGGCGAAGGCGGGUCUCUGGGCAGUAACUGACGCUGAGGAGCGAAAGCGUGGGGAGCGAACAGG
rnacentral:rRNA from 1 species